rnacentral:rRNA from 1 species
AACGAACGCUGGCGGCAGGCUUAACACAUGCAAGUCGAGCGCCCCGCAAGGGGAGCGGCAGACGGGUGAGUAACGCGUGGGAACGUACCCUUUACUACGGAAUAGCUCCGGGAAACUGGAAUUAAUACCGUAUGUGCCCUUCGGGGGAAAGAUUUAUCGGUAAAGGAUCGGCCCGCGUUGGAUUAGCUAGUUGGUGGGGUAAAGGCCUACCAAGGCGACGAUCCAUAGCUGGUCUGAGAGGAUGAUCAGCCACAUUGGGACUGAGACACGGCCCAAACUCCUACGGGAGGCAGCAGUGGGGAAUAUUGGACAAUGGGCGCAAGCCUGAUCCAGCCGUGCCGCGUGAGUGAUGAAGGCCUUAGGGUUGUAAAGCUCUUUCACCGAUGAAGAUAAUGACGGUAGUCGGAGAAGAAGCCCCGGCUAACUUCGUGCCAGCCGCCGCAGUAAUAC